rnacentral:rRNA from 1 species
AACGAACGCUGGCGGCGUGCCUAACACAUGCAAGUCGAGCGCGAAUGGAGCAAUCCUAGUAGAGCGGCGCACGGGUGCGUAACACGUGGAUAAUCUGCCUGGGUGUCUGGGAUAACCAGUCGAAAGACUGGCUAAUACCGGAUAAGCCCCCGGGAGCUUCGGCUCUUGAGGGAAAAGGUGGCCUCUGUAUACAAGCUAUCACAUCCAGAUGAGUCCGCGGCCCAUCAGCUAGUUGGCGGGGUAAUGGCCCACCAAGGCAACGACGGGUAGCUGGUCUGAGAGGACGAUCAGCCACACUGGAACUGAGACACGGUCCAGACUCCUACGGGAGGCUG